UAACCCUCAAGUGACCGAGUGGGGCCGUUUAUGACCCCGGGGAUAUAUUUUUUGGCACAGUUUUUCCUAAUUUUAAAUCUGAAAAAUAGU